rnacentral:rRNA from 1 species
UACAGAGGUCUCAAGCGUUGUUCGGAUUCAUUGGGCGUAAAGGGUGCGUAGGCGGCGCGGUAAGUCGGGUGUGAAAUCUCGGAGCUUAACUCCGAAACUGCAUUCGAUACUGCCGUGCUUGAGGACUGGAGAGGAGACUGGAAUUUACGGUGUAGCAGUGAAAUGCGUAGAUAUCAGGAGGAACACCGAUGGCGAAGGCAGCUCGCUGGGACGGUACUGACGCUGAGACGCGAAAGCGUGGGGAGCGAACAGG